AACGAACGCUGGCGGCAUGCCUAACACAUGCAAGUCGAACGAAGGCUUCGGCCUUAGUGGCGCACGGGUGCGUAACGCGUGGGAAUCUGCCCUUGGGUUCGGAAUAACAGUUAGAAAUGACUGCUAAUACCGGAUGAUGUCGUAAGACCAAAGAUUUAUCGCCCAGGGAUGAGCCCGCGUAAGAUUAGGUAGUUGGUGGGGUAAAGGCCUACCAAGCCGACGAUCUUUAGCUGGUCUGAGAGGAUGAUCAGCCACACUGGGACUGAGACACGGCCCAGACUCCUACGGAGGCAGCAGUGGGGAAUAUUGGACAAUGGGCGAAAGCCUGAUCCAGCAAUGCCGCGUGAGUGAUGAAGGCCUUAGGGUUGUAAAGCUCUUUUACCAGGGAUGAUAAUGACAGUACCUGGAGAAUAAGCUCCGGCUAACUCCGUGCCAGCAGCCGCGGUAAU
rnacentral:rRNA from 1 species